rnacentral:rRNA from 1 species
UACGUAGGGUGCAAGCGUUGUCCGGAAUUAUUGGGCGUAAAGGGCUCGUAGGCGGUCCAUCACGUCGGGAGUGAAAAGCUGGGGCUUAACCCCAGUCCUGCUUCCGAUACGGGUGGACUAGAGGUAGGCAGGGGAGGACGGAAUUCCUGGUGUAGCGGUGAAAUGCGCAGAUAUCAGGAGGAACACCGGUGGCGAAGGCGGUUCUCUGGGCCUUACCUGACGCUGAGGAGCGAAAGCGUGGGGAGCAAACAGG